rnacentral:lncRNA from 1 species
CCGCCCCUUCCAUGCACACACAUGCACAUGCAUAUUCAGUCAACUGUCCACACCAACAUACCUGGCCUGCAGCUGGCACGGGGGAUGGGGGCACCGGCGUGCGACUUGCAGGGAGGCUGGAGCGCACUGGGAGCAAACCUGGAGGCUGCUGCCUGGGACCUGGUCUUGGGAAUCCACGCUGCCUUGCACUGAGCAGGUCUCCUUCACACACUACCUUUCAAGCUUCAUUUCCUUACGUUCCCCCAUUCCCGAUACCGCCCCUCAGUCAGGCGGAUUACCGACUUCAGCUCUGGAGCUCCCAGACUGUCAGAAUUCUCAUUGAACCCACAAUAAUGCCCAUCCUCCACUUCUUGUGAACCAGAAACUUCUGCCUUCAGCGACCUGGGUUUUCAGAUUCCAGAAGAAACCACAUUUGGGGCAAGCGAGAUCCGUUUCUCCACACACAGACUGAGGUCACCUGAUGAAGCUCUGUUUUCAAGAAUGAGCUCAGAUUAUAUGACAGCAGCAAGCAGCACCGCCCCAACCCGUCUAUUUGCUGAAGGCGCGGAAGAGGCGGUGGAAGGAGAGAAAUGGUCUCUCUCCCCGCAAAUCCCUUUCCCGAACUCCAUUGCCUGUCUCAGCGCAGGCCCCGCGGUCGCCUAGCAACCACAGCCGCCUGAAGGGGCAUAGGGAACGCUUUCCACCCAUAGGGGGCGCCUAUCUCCCUGGGGCCUCUGGCUGGAGCCCUAGCAGUUGGGAGUCGGGGGCGGGUCUCUGGUUAAGCUUCAGAGUCUCAGUGUUAUUUAUCUCCUUGGCUUAUCGGUGGGGUUCAUUCUAAGUGUUCAAGAGCCUGUGGAGUAGAGAGAAGCUUACUAUGAAUCUAAAGGUAGUUUACUUGGAUUCAUUAAAAAAUGAAAAGAGGAAAGAAAGAAGAAUGGAAGGAGGGGAGGGAGGAGUCAAAGGGAAUGAGGCAGGGCAAAAUUGGGAGAAAAAAUUGACCCUCUCUAUUCACUUCAGGCUUCCCAAUACUUAAUUCCUCUAUCAGAGAAGUUCAGAAGGCCCAGGCUCUCCGGGACUUUUUUUUUUCCUGAACCACUUUUAGGAUGUAGAAAGGAGUUUAGCACUCUUUAUUGGCAAACUGAUGAGCUUAUACAACACUUCAAGCUCCCUAGUUACCAGACUAAUCUAGACUUGGCCAUUAAGAAAGAUAGUCGUUCAUUCAUUCAUUCGUAUAUUCAACAAUAAUAAUUAACACUACUAUGCGGUAUGUUAAGCGUUCUACAUUUAAUCUUCACAAAAAUGCUAUGAUUAUUUCCAUUUCACAGAUUUAAAGAACUGAUCUCAGAGAAGUAAUGCUCAAGGUCACACAACUGGUGACUGGGUUGGGUCUGACUGAACAACCACUGUGAGUCAAGAUCUAAGACAGAAAACAUGACACUUCUCUCUUUUGUCUACUUAAUGAACACCUAGUCACCUUUCAGGACCAAACUAAAGAUGUCAACCCCUUUUUGAAACUCUUCUUAAGUCCUUCCCCACCCAGGUAAAGUUGAUAACUUGCUUUUCAGUGCACCCCUCUGAAAUAGCACUUUUCAUUGAUGUUACAAUGAUCUACUUCUGUAUUUCUAUUUCUCUAAUUUUUAACAUGUUGGCAGCAGGGUUGUGUUCAUCUCCACUUGGAUGUCUAGUAGACAUCUCAAAUUCAACAUGUCCAAAUCUGAUCUUUCCCCAAAAAAUGACCACUCCUAAAGUCCUCAGUACAAUCAAUAGCCAUUUCACCUUCCCAGUUGCUCUGCAAAAAACAAAAACAAACAAACAAACAAAAUCCUUGAAAGCAACCACAUCUUGUGGUUUCAACAAAUCCUGACAUCUGUCCCUUCAAAAUAUACCCAGAAACCAACCACUUCUCAUCACCUCCAGUGCUGCCACCUGUUCCAAGCCACUAUUACCUUUCAGUAAGAUCACUUCAGUAGCGUCCUGACUAGUCUCACUGCCUCUACCCUUACACCUUGCAGCCUAUUGUCCGCAAAGAAACUGGACCAAUCCAGAUAAAACCAGAUCAGAGCUUGUCAGUUCUCUGCACAAAACUGGCAUAUGACUCCCUGUCUUUAAGAGUAAAGCCAAGGGUUGGGGCUGUGGAUCAGAGGUAGAGUGCUCGCCUACCGUGCGUGAGGCACUGGGUUUGUUCCCCAACACCACAUAAAAAAAAUAAAAUAAAGAUAUUUUAAAAAGUAAAGCCAAUACUCUUACAAUGAUCUUCAAGGCCCUAUGUAUCUAAUACCUUAUUGAAUUUCUGAUCUUGUCUCCAGCUAUUCUCACACUCUCUCACACUUACAUCCACUGGGUCCUCCCUUCUGUUCCUUGAAUAGGCCAGGUACACUCUUACAUAGGACUUUUGCACUGGCUGUUCCCUUGCUAGGUUUACUCUUCUGCAUGGUAUACUUCCUGACUGGCCACAAGUCUCUGCUCAAAUGCCAACUUCUUGGUGAGGUUUAUCCUCACUAACCUAUUUAAUAUUCCCUCUAUUCUAAUUUCUAGGUUACAGUAAAUAUGGGGUAUAAAGGAACAAGAUAAAUGACAACAUGAAGGGGGAAAAAACAGACAAAUCCAGACUGUAGGAUAGUCUACAAAACAACUGACUUGUACUCUUCAAAAAAUAAACAUGC